GUCUUUGAACGCAAGUUGCGCCCGAAGCCAUUAGGCGGAGGGCACGUCUGCCUGGGCGUCACG
rnacentral:rRNA from 1 species